rnacentral:misc_RNA from 1 species
AUUAAAGUCAAUCCCGAGCUUAUUUCGCAAACUUGAACACCUGAUUUUUCGAGUUCAAUCCUAUCUCUCUUCCGAAUACAUCAGCAAGGAGGGGUUUCAGCAGAGAGGUACGGGAAUAACUACAGCAAGGUAUUUAGCAGCUCCCCAAAUAAAUUUUUGCAGACUCCAAAUUUGGUUUGGUUAUCUGUACUUUCAUUGCGUAAAGGCAUAGAUUUUUCAACCUGUAGAAGUAGGAAUACCCCAAAGCAUAGACUUUUGCAGACCAAUAUGACUUCAUUUUUUUAUUCUCCUUUGUUGCUUCUUUAUGCAAUUAUUAUGUGCAAGAAAAUAUAAAAGAGUUUCCCACUCUUAUAAAG